UGCCCUGGCAUUGGGCAAGGAGAUACCUGGUUGGUGGUUUUGCUCUUAUAUCAAUCAGGGGCAAAGCAGAUGUAGUUAUUAGUUCAUCCUAGCUUGAUGCCUAUACUGGUGGCCAGAGCUAUUUCAUGCCUGAGGCACAUUA